CUCUGCUGAAAUAGUAUGUGCAUUACAGUAUUUGCAUUCUAAAGGUAUAAUUCACAGAAAUUGUGGGCUCUAUUUUCAGCUGGCGCUAAGGAGUUGCAAGUGUCAAAAGCAUGUAUGAUGCCGUUCCUAUUCUGUCCAGCAUCAUCCUGUGUUCCUCCCCUCCUCCUUCUAUGGUAAGAAUCACCUGGACUCCAGUUUGUUCCUCCAUCUAAGAAUGGAGGGCCCUCAAGCCUCCCCAAAGCUUGUAAAGCAGCCAGAGGACUUCAAAUUUGGUCGAAUUCUAGGAGAAGGCUCCUAUUCAACAGUUGUGCUGGCAAGAGAACAGGCCACAGGGAAGGAAUAUGCUAUGAAGAUUCUGGAGAAGAUGCACAUCCGGAAGGAGAACAAGGCACAUUGCGUGACACGAGAGAGGGAUAUCAUGUCAAGCUUAGACCAUCCAUUUAUCGUCAAGCUCUACUUCACAUUUCAAGAUGUGAAAAGGGACCUCAAACCAGAGAAUAUUUUACUGAAUGAGGACAUGCACAUUCAAAUAACAGACUUUGGAACUGCAAAACAACUCUCAUCAGAUGACAGAGCAAACUCCUUUGUUGGAACAGCUGAGUAUGUUUCUCCAGAACUACUGACUCAGAAAUCUGCCUGCAAAAGCUCUGACCUUUGGGGUUUAGGCUGUAUCAUCUACCAGUUGGUAGCAGGAUUACCUCCAUUUAGAGCCGGGAAUGACUACCUGAAAUUCCAGAAGAUUAUUAAACUGGAGUAUGAAUUUCCUGAUCAAUUCUUUCCUAAUGCGAAGGAUCUAGUGGAACAUCUUCUAUGCUUGGAUCCCUCCAACCGAUUAGGUUGUGAGGAGAUGGGUGGGUACAACCCUCUCAGAGACCAUUUUUUCUUUAAGGCUAUCACAUGGGAGAACCUUCACCUACAGACACCCCCCAAACUCACCCCCUACCUGCCAGCCAUGGCUGAGGAUGAUGAGGACUAUUAUGGAAACUAUGAUGACCUCCUCAGCCAGUUCAGCAACAUGCAGGUUGUCCAUUCCCGCUCCUUUCAACCACUGUUUGUGGCCAACCCCAGUCCCAUCCCCAACCCUGCACAAAGGCCCAACAGCAACAUCGAGCAAUACAUUCAUGACCUGGACAACAACUCUUUUGAGCUGGAUCUGCAGUUUUCCACUGAGGUGAAGCGGCUACUGCUUGAGAAGCAGACAAGCAGAAACCCCUGGAAUCAGUUUGUGGAGAAUAAUUUGAUCCUCAAGAUGGGACCAGUGGACAAAAGGAAGGGUCUGUUUGCACGUCGGCGCCAGCUAUUGUUGACUGAGGGACCACACCUUUACUAUGUGGACCCAGUUAACAAGGUUUUGAAAGGAGAGAUCCCCUGGUCCCCCGCACUGCGCCCAGAGGCCAAGAACUUCAAGACCUUCUUUGUCCAUACACCUAACAGAACAUACUAUCUGAUGGACCCGUGUGGGAAUGCUGACAAAUGGUGCAACAAAAUUCAAGAAGUGUGGCAAAAAAUCUAUAACAAGCAUUUUAACUCCUGCAUGUAGGUUGGGUACACUAUCUUUUGAAAACAGGUCUUACCCUGUAAUGACAGGAGACAGAAAAUGAAGGCGUUAAUUCAUAAAUGAUGGAAAACACCUAGCUGUAAUGUAGCUUACAAGUCGUAUUCCCUAUUACUCCACACAUUUAAUUUAUUGUAGGGCAGCAGGUUCAGGGCAUGUUCCAUUGUAAUGCAGAAUUUGAUACAUUCAGCUGGAUCUAAAGCCAUUCUGGUAUAGAAAGGACCUAUUAUUUAAGAAAGUAGAAUGGCUAUUGCAACUAUUCUAACUGACGAUUUCUUAGGCUUGGAUGGUCUCAUGUCUGACAUGGUGGCCUUGGUUUUCCUAAGCUAUUUGUCUUCUAUAGCAGAGAAUAAACGUUGGUCAAACCACAUAGGCUGGUGCUGCUUUACAAAUUAGGAGUUGACAUGGAUGUUGGUUGAACAGUUCAUCCAAAUUGCAGAGGAGGAUGUUGAAGCCUGUUUUUUGACUGUUCUCAUUUCUGGGAGAAGUUGAUUGUAAAUGUUAGACAGAUAUUAUGUUAGUCUAUUCUAACGACCAUUGCUGUGAUGUACAAAGUGGGAUGCAAGUAAAGUGUAAAAUGUAUAUUUUGUAUUUGUUUUAGGGUUUUAUCCUUUGCUGAUUAAUCCUCAUGCUAUCCAAACAGUUCAAAUACGGUAAUAAUUUGGAUUAAUGACCUGGCUCCAUGUUUACAUAAUUUAAAUGUAAAUCAAUUGAAUGUAAAUAGUUGAUAAUGGUAAAUUAUUAUAUUUUGCUACCUUUCAUUGUAAUCUAUAUUUUAUUUAUGGAUGGUGACAUUGUUAUUUUUACAUAAAGAGAUGUGGGCCUAUUUUUGUGUGUGCAAGUUUCAAAUUGUUAAUUGGAAGAAUGCAGCAUAUAUAUAUAUACGGUGGCUUGGUAAUAAAAGCAUGUGGGAUUUUGACACACAUGUUUAUUUAUACUUAGCUUGGGUGAAGGCUCAGUAUCAUCAUUUUGGGACCAAACCUUUUUUGAAGUCAUGGAGUCCCAACUGCAAAAAAUAUUCUUAUGAUAAGGAUGCAGGGAGUGGGGGGAUGGGUCAUCACUAGCUUCAGUAGCCACAAAGUUAUAAACCCCGCCCAUUUCUACAAUUGAUUAUCUUCGAAUUUUAUUUUAAAGUUAAGCCUAACAUUAACCACACUGCUACAUUUAUGCCUGACCCUAACCUUAAAUUAAAACUGUGGCUGUGGAAUCUGACGGAUGUCUAAUAAAAACUGUGGAAACCGGUGGGUGGGGGUUGUCAAACUUGGAUUACCGUACUUUAUGACUAUGCCUUGCCCAGUUUCCCGGCUCGCUUCAACUCAGUUCCUGUAACUUUAGCUAGCGACGCAUCCAAGUUCGAGGAGCUGGGAUGGCGGAGAAGAGCCCUGACUCCAGCGGCUCAGUUGACCAGUGUCCCGCCCUGUCUCCGGAACAGAGAAUGCAGUCACCUGGGAUCGGGGCAUCCAAAUGGGUCCGUCUGAAUGUCGGUGGGACAUACUUUCUCACAACGAGGCAAACGUUGUGCCGAGACUCAAAAUCGUUCCUGUACCGUCUUUGCCAGGCCGACCCCGACCUCGACUCUGACAAGGAUGAAACGGGUGCCUAUUUGAUAGACCGGGACCCAACAUACUUUGGUCCAGUGCUCAACUACCUGAGGCAUGGGAAACUGGUGCUCAAUAGAGGUCUUGCAGAGGAAGGUAUGAUGAUAUUCUGGGAUAUGCUGAGACAUGUCUGAAGAGUUGUGCCAUUCUGUCAUCUUUGUUGCUGUUUCUUUUUCGCUCUAACACGUCACACGCUAACAAUCACACUUAUUACAUUUAACACCACAGCGGUUCUCAUUAGCAUACAUUGUUUUUUUCAAUGAUUGGGGUUUUAAGAAUUGGUUAAAUACAUUCUGUUCCUCUCAAGGUGUACUGGAAGAGGCUGAAUUCUACAAUAUCCCUUCUUUGAUCAAGCUAAUUAAAGACAAAAUCAGGGAGAGGGCCUGCAAAACAUUUCAGCUCCCUAUAAAACAUGUCUACAGAGUCUUGCAGUGCCAAGAAGAGGAGCUAACACAAAUGGUUUCCACCAUGUCAGAUGGUUGGAAGUUUGAGCAGUUGGUCAGUAUUGGCUCCUCAUAUAACUAUGGAAAUGAAGACCAGGCAGAGUUCCUGUGUGUUGUCUCUAAGGAGCUACAUAACCAAUCAUACGGCACAAGCAGUGAACCAAGUGAAAAGGCCAAGAUUCUUCAAGAACAAGGCUCUCGAAUGUGAAGAGACUGUUCAGUUCUUAGGAUUGUGUCCUGCUAUGAUGUCCAGAUAUAAAGACACAAACUACAUCACAUUCUGAGGAGCAUUAUGGCACGCUGGAGAAGCUGGCUAACUGCAGUCUACACAUUGUACACCAUUUUUCUUUCAGAUCUCAAAUCAAAAUGUGCAAUCGAUAGCGUUACUCUGUUUUUGGGCCUACAUAGUAAAACUGGACUGUAGAUUUUCACACAGAAAAGGGACUGAUCACUAUUGUCCACAGCAUUUAUACUUGGUCCAUCAUUUACUCAGGGUCUCUAAUAGUGUUUUGGAAGAUGCAUUAGGUGUGCACUGUCUGGUGGGACAUUAUUUCAAACAUUUGUGCGUACUACAUUAUGCCAGUCCUUCACAUACAAAAAUCAAACCUCUCUGAGAAAUGAAUUGGAAAGCAGGUUUUAAAAGUUAGAUAUUUAAGACUAUUUAUAUGGAGUUGUAUAGAUUCAUACUGUCUUGUUAGAGGUGAAGACUGUAUCGACAGUUUUUAUUUAUUUUUUACAUGUCUUUAAACAGAGAUUAUUUAUGUCCCUUUCCAAAUAUCCUUUCAACCUGCACAUUGUCCGUUUUUUGGAAGGAGGACAUUCUUAGAACUAUUUCUACCAGGGUUAUUGUUUGAUAAUGAGGUUGAGGUGAUGUUAGGGAAUGCCAGAUGUUAAAGGACUAAAACUUGUCUUCCAUCCCCAGACUCUGGCGUGUUUUAGUUGGCUUACCUGUUAGGCAGCCACUGUGGAACUGGAACACAUUGUUAUAUUUUAGGACAUUAUACCUAGAGCCAUUUGAUAGGCACAUUUUUUCCCCACAUUGACAUAUGACAGUGACUUAUCGGCUGGUGUUGUGAAGGGCCUGUUUUCCAUUUUACGUGAGAAAGAAAAGUGUUUGUCUCUUGCAUGAAUUAGUGCAUAUCUGCUUAUUUGUGUGUGUAUACACAAUCUUUACGCUUCUGCGGUUUGACUGUAUUGAGCUUUGACAGGGCUGUAUACCAAGCUAAAUUACACCAAACUGGCAGUUUGCAAUCAUGCAAGUUCUGAGCAAAAAUGCUUUGGUCAUGUAUUGAUGAAAAGAUUGGAAAUUAUAAUGCACAGUCAUUACCAUUGUUCAACUUGUAGAUGGUUGAGCUACCUAUUGAAUACGUUAACAUUGUCAGUACAUGAAAACAUUUAUUUUUGAAAAUGUUGCCAUUGUUCAAUGACCAAAUCGAUGUCUGAAUUUCAACUUUAAUCUGAAUUUCUUUUGUCAGCAAUAGGGAAAUUCGGUAGUCUACAUGCAUAUCUAUGAGGAUUUGUACAUAGAGGAAGUAUAAUAAUAUUCAGAUGUGUUAUCAGUGUAUGCUUUUUCUUCCUAACACACACACACAGGGCUUUAACUAGUGGAAUACAAGCUAUAAUUUCUGUAAAGGUCAACUGGACCCCUCCUGUUGCCUGAUCAAGGUAAAGUUUACAUGUCUAGUGUUUUAUAAUCGGGAUCUUACCAUGCCAUUGUGACACAAUGCUCUAAUUUGGCUUGUUUAAACAUGUAUAUUACUAUGUUUACAUACCAACUACCUGGGUAUCUGGGAUGUCAGCCAUUUAUCUAGUACGCAGACGGAUAGUUUUCCAACAUUUUCCUUGGACAGGUUUUUUCUUGUUCACUGAGUUGUCUUGUGGUGAUAAGUGCCUCUUGCCUCUGGGGCUUCACAGUGCAUGUGAAAUCUGUGUAGUAGUGAUGCCCAUAACCACAAGGGCUCACUGUUUGUGUCCACCCUGCAGUGACAGUGAAGACAUGUGUCUAGUGUGGUGUCCUUUGACUGCAGAUUCUUAAACAGAAGGGGGUGUCAGCCAUUGCAUGCAUGGCCUGAUUCACCUUCCACCAUGCCCUCAGCUUUACAGGACACCACUUCACUCCACUGUGACACUUCAGCUCCUGUGGGUUUCUAAUGGGACAUUGUUGUAGUUUUCCAUUAAAUGUAUUUUUAAAAUGAACAGAUGCAGACCAUUUUUAUUUUCUCACUGCUGUUCCUAUAUAGUAGUAUCAAAUGUUUUGUAUUUUUUAUGCUUACUGUAUAUACAUACUAUAUUAUAUGUAAUAGCAUGUUUUGACUGGAGAUAAUGGAAAUUAUGGUGAUGCUAGACCUGGUGGAUUUAAUCAAUAAAUGGUAAUGAAUUCAA